rnacentral:rRNA from 1 species
UGGGGAAUCUUGCGCAAUGGGCGAAAGCCUGACGCAGCAACGCCGCGUGUGUGAUGAAGGUCUUCGGAUCGUAAAGCACUGUCGGGAGGGAAGAACAAGCCUGUGGCCAACAUCCACGGGCCUUGACGGUACCUCCAAAGGAAGCACCGGCUAACUCUGUGCCAGCAGCCGCGGUAAUACAGAGGGUGCAAGCGUUGUUCGGAAUUAUUGGGCGUAAAGCGCGUGUAGGCGGUCCCGCAAGUUGGGUGUGAAAGCCCUCGGCUCAACCGAGGAAGUGCGCCCAAAACUACGGAACUUGAGUACCGGAGAGGAUGGCGGAAUGCCCGGUGUAGAGGUGAAAUUCGUAGAUAUCGGGCGGAACACCAGCGGCGAAGGCGGCCAUCUGGACGGAUACUGACGCUGAGACGCGAAAGCGUGGGGAGCAAACA